UGUGACAGAAUAGUGUGAUAAAUUUAAGAUUUAUUUAUAAAGUUCAUCUUUCUUUAGAA
rnacentral:tRNA from 4 species